rnacentral:rRNA from 1 species
AUGAACGCUGGCGGCGUGCCUAAUACAUGCCAGUCGAGCGAACAGACGAGGAGCUUGCUCCUCUGACGUUAUCGGCGGACGGGUGAGUAACACGUGGAUAACCUACCUAUAAGACUGGGAUAACUUCGGGAAACCGGAGCUAAUACCGGAUAAUAUAUUGAACCGCAUGGUUCAAUAGUGAAAGACGGUUUUGCUGUCACUUAUAGAUUGAUCCGCGCCGCAUUAGCUAGUUGGUAAGGUAACGGCUUACCAAGGCAACGCUUCGUAGCCGACCUGAGAGGGUGAUCGGCCACACGGGAACUGAGACACGGUCCAGACUCCUACGGGAGGCAGCAGUAGGGAAUCUUCCGCAAUGGGCGAAAACCUGACGGAGCAACGCCGCGUGAGUGAUGAAGGUCUUCGGAUCGUAAAACUCUGUUAUUAGGGAAGAACAAAUGUGUAAGUAACUAUGCACGUCUUGACGGUACCUAAUCAGAAAGCCACGGCUAACUACGUG